rnacentral:rRNA from 1 species
GAUGAACGCUGGCGGCGUGCCUAACACAUGCAAGUCGAACGAAGCGAUUUAACGGAAGUUUUCGGAUGGAAGUUGAAUUGACUGAGUGGCGGACGGGUGAGUAACGCGUGGGUAACCUGCCUUGUACUGGGGGACAACAGUUAGAAAUGACUGCUAAUACCGCAUAAGCGCACAGUAUCGCAUGAUACAGUGUGAAAAACACCGGUGGUACAAGAUGGACCCGCGUCUGAUUAGCUAGUUGGUAAGGUAACGGCUUACCAAGGCGACGAUCAGUAGCCGACCUGAGAGGGUGACCGGCCACAUUGGGACUGAGACACGGCCCAAACUCCUACGGGAGGCAGCAGUGGGGAAUAUUGCACAAUGGGCGAAAGCCUGAUGCAGCGACGCCGCGUGAGUGAGGAAGUAUUUCGGUAUGUAAAGCUCUAUCAGCAGGGAAGAAAAUGACGGUACCUGACUAAGAAGCCCCGGCUAACUACGUGCCAGCAGCCGCGGUAAUACGUAGGGGGCAAGCGUUAUCCGGAUUUACUGGGUGUAAAGGGAGCGUAGACGGUAAAGCAAGUCUGAAGUGAAAGCCCGCGGCUCAACUGCGGGACUGCUUUGGAAACUGUUUAACUGGAGUGUCGGAGAGGUAAGUGGAAUUCCUAGUGUAGCGGUGAAAUGCGUAGAUAUUAGGAGGAACACCAGUGGCGAAGGCGACUUACUGGACGAUAACUGACGUUGAGGCUCGAAAGCGUGGGGAGCAAACAGGAUUAGAUACCCUGGUAGUCCACGCCGUA